UAAAUAAGUGUAAUUUGUUGUGUAAAAAGGCAAAGUGAUUUUUUAAUACUAUAUAUUAAUUUUUGAUUAAUGUAUCUAAGAUUAAAUAGAUCACAGCUAAUGCGUGUAACAUCUGAACAUGCGAUGAAUAAAAUAAUGGUGGCAGCGGUAAUCGAACUCUCAGCGUGACCAAGCACCGUCGUAAGUCAACUUUAAUAACCGGGAUUGAAGCCAAAUCAUCAGGAAUCAACUCCAGGUGACAGAGCGUGGUGUUACACAACCUUGGUCGAAGCCUACAACAAACGAUUCAACCCAAGUUUCCGGUUCCUCCAAGUCUAAUUGCAGCAGAGGGUAAACCAACUCCAGAUAUCUGUACGGACCAGAAUUCGAUGGCGUAAACCAACGGAUGGGAAAACAAACAAACAAAAAACUAUUUUCAGAAUCGAGAGUGCGAUUGAUGGAACCAAUUCGUCAAUGGAUAUGUACCAAAUUAUCCGGAGCAAAACAGUUUUUCCGACCACCAAUAUAUCAAGACACAGAGUCCGAUUAUUUUCUGUCGUUCAACAUUAAACAUUAUUAGGAGCGCUCUACGAUAAUAACCCUGAAAUAGCCAGUACCCGAACUUCAAACAGGGUGCGCACAGACUUCCCUUCAGCCGUUUACCGUUCGGAAACCCAUGAAUCAGGAAGUCAAGAAGCGGGUUUUUUAAAAAUACCAAUCUUUCACUUUCCCGUAAAAGAACGACAUCAAUACGUUUUUUUUUUAGUCACCGAUACAAACAAUCCUAAAUAAAGUUGAGACAAAUCCAACAUACAAUACAUUUAUGUACAUUUUUAUACAGCCAAAUA